rnacentral:rRNA from 1 species
UACGUAGGGUGCGAGCGUUGUCCGGAUUUAUUGGGCGUAAAGAGCUCGUAGGCGGCUUGUUACGUCGUUCGUGAAAACUUGGGGCUCAACCCCAAGCUUGCGGUCGAUACGGGCAGGCUAGAGUUCGGUAGGGGAGACUGGAAUUCCUGGUGUAGCGGUGAAAUGCGCAGAUAUCAGGAGGAACACCGGUGGCGAAGGCGGGUCUCUGGGCCGAUACUGACGCUGAGGAGCGAAAGCGUGGGGAGCAAACAGG